GACGAACGCUGGCGGCGUGCUUAACACAUGCAAGUCGAACGGAAAGGCCCUGCUUUUGUGGGGUGCUCGAGUGGCGAACGGGUGAGUAACACGUGAGUAACCUGCCCUUGACUUUGGGAUAACUUCAGGAAACUGGGGCUCAUACCGGAUAGGAGCUCCUGCUGCAUGGUGGGGGUUGGAAAGUUUCGGCGGUUGGGGAUGGACUCGCGGCUUAUCAGCUUGUUGGUGGGGUAGUGGCUUACCAAGGCUUUGACGGGUAGCCGGCCUGAGAGGGUGACCGGCCACAUUGGGACUGGGAUACGGCCCAGACUCCUACGGGAGGCAGCAGUGGGGAAUAUUGCACAAUGGGCGGAAGCCGGAUGCAGCAACGCCGCGUGCGGGAUGACGGCCUUCGGGGUGUAAACCGCGUUCGCCUGUGACGAAGCGUGAGUGACGGUAAUGGGUAAAGAAGCACCGGCUAACUACGUG
rnacentral:rRNA from 1 species